AAAUAAGAAUUAAUACAAAAAUUAAAUUUAAUUUCGACUUAAACAUAGGAAAGUUUUCCCUUAUUUU
rnacentral:tRNA from 1 species